AGUAAUUAAUAAUGUUGGCAUAUGUAACUCAACAGAAAAUUAGAAAAUAAUUGUUUGGAACGUUGGGCUGUAUAUGAUUAUGCUCCAUGAUUGCAUGGAACAUUAAUUGGGCUAAUAUCGAUCAGGAACUGGAAGCCUGGAAACCUGCCCUUGCCGCAAGCGGGCUCAGUUUUCGUUUUGAGCAGAGACAGGCUCCAAGCUUUCGAGCACAUACUGAGCCCAGAAAUUCUCAAAGCGCCAUUUUGUUUUUUUCCAAGGGGCAUGAUUACAAAAUUAGGGAGGCAAGUCAACGGAUUGAUCACGGAGGCACCUCCUAGCCUGACAAUAAGGUAUGCUAUUGUUUUCCGGCUCCACUUUGCG
rnacentral:misc_RNA from 1 species